UCCAAACAGCCAUUCAUGCAAAACCCAACUUAGACAUCUUUGUUUCAAAAUUUUUUUACAACUGUUCAUCGACAUGACCCAACACAGACAAUAUAGUAUCAGUUCACCCCUCAUCUGAACGUUAUUGUCUCCACUUUCCCCAACUUUCCUCUUCCCUCAUUAGUAAAUUUUUCCAUUCCCUUCUUGCUGAUCAUCCCAAAUGAGACAGCAGACCCUCCAUUCCUUCAUGCCCAAAUCGAGCAGCCAUUGAGUCUUCUUUAAGCCUCAAAAUAGCUUCUCUGUAGAUGAGGAUUAACGCCGUUGGAAGGCACAAAGCUUGAAGCCGUUUGAAUGGAAGCCGUAUGCUGCAGACUUUAUUUUUGCGAAUCUCUAGCCCUAACCUGCCCAUUGCCAGCAUAAUCUUGACCCUAAAACUCCAAAUCUCUGGCCCUAAACCCUAUAUUGUGAGCACUUGACUUGAAGCCGUGUGAAUCUCUACCCAAAGCUGGCCAUUGCCAGUCAAAUCUUUGGCCCUGACCUAGGCUUAACCCUCCUUGUAGUGCAUCGUCACCUCAGAAGCCAACUGUCCCUUCAGUCAAGGUCACCCUUCGCCUGCAUUUACAUUGCAAUCGACCCCUAUCUUGCUUCAAGCAAGAGUUGUUCUUCCUGUAGCAAAAAUGGUGUGUAAAGCUAAACCUCUCUCUUCAAGAAAAACCACCCCUUUAAAACUACGCUAGCCUCACAUCUUCAUCACCUUCCAAACUCCCAAGAAAUGGUGUUGCCGCCAUACCUUCACCACUACGGUUCCUAGGACUCUUUCCUACUGGAUUCAUUUGGUGAACGUCAAUCUAGCAGUCGGCCUCUACUCUUUUGUGGAGAUAAUUACUUAUUCUGGAAAGAUAGAAUGAAAAUAUUCUUUCAGAUUCAAGGUCAAGAAAUCUGAAAAUAUAUUGUAAAUGAACCUUAUAUCCCAACAAAAGUGGUUGAUGGGGUAAAGGAGAAAAAUGAAGAAGAAAAGUUUGAUCGUGAA